GAUGAACGCUGGCGGCAUGCCUAAUACAUGCAAGUCGAGCGAACAAACGAGGAUCUUGCUCCUCUUACGUUAGCGGCGGACGGGUGAUUAACACGUGUAUAACCGACCUAUAAGACUGGGAUAACUUCGGGAAACCUGAUCUAAUACCGGAUAAUAUAUUGAACCGCAUGGUUCAAUAGUGAAAGAGCUUUUUGCUGUCACUUAUAGAUGUAUCCUCGCCGCAUUAGCUAGUUGGUAAGGUAACGGCUUACCAAGGCAACGAUGCGUAGCCGACCUGAGAGGGUGAUCGGCCACACUGGAACUGAGACACGGUCCAGACUCCUACGGGAGGCAGCAGUAGGGAAUCUUCCGCAAUGGGCGAAAGCUUGACGGAGCCACGCCGCGUGAGUGAUGAAGGUCUUCGGAUCGUAAAACUCUGUUAUUAGGGAAGAACAAAUGUGUAAGUAAAUAUGCACGUUUUGACGGUACCUACACAGAAAGCACCGGCUAACUACGUG
rnacentral:rRNA from 1 species